rnacentral:rRNA from 1 species
UACGUAGGGCGCAAGCGUUGUCCGGAAUUACUGGGCGUAAAGCGCACGUAGGCGGAUUUGUAAGUCAGGGGUGAAAUCCCGGGGCUCAACCUCGGAACUGCCUUUGAUACUGCAAAUCUCGAGUCCGGAAGAGGUGAGUGGAAUUCCUAGUGUAGAGGUGAAAUUCGCAGAUAUUAGGAAGAACACCAGUGGCGAAGGCGGCUCACUGGUCCGGUACUGACGCUGAGGUGCGAAAGCGUGGGGAGCAAACAGG